GAUGAACGCUGGCGGCGUGCCUAAUACAUGCAAGUCGAGCGAACAGACGAGGAGCUUGCUCCUCUGACGUUAGCGGCGGACGGGUGAGUAACACGUGGAUAACCUACCUAUAAGACUGGGAUAACUUCGGGAAACCGGAGCUAAUACCGGAUAAUAUAUUGAACCGCAUGGUUCAAUAGUGAAAGACGGUUUUGCUGUCACUUAUAGAUGGAUCCGCGCCGCAUUAGCUAGUUGGUAAGGUAACGGUUACCAAGGCAACGAUGCGUAGCCGACCUGAGAGGGUGAUCGGCCACACUGGAACUGAGACACGGUCCAGACUCCUACGGGAGGCAGCAGUAGGGAAUCUUCCGCAAUGGGCGAAAGCCUGACGGAGCAACGCCGCGUGAGUGAUGAAGGUCUUCGGAUCGUAAAACUCUGUUAUUAGGGAAGAACAAAUGUGUAAGUAACUAUGCACGUCUUGACGGUACCUAAUCAGAAAGCCACGGCUAACUACGUG
rnacentral:rRNA from 1 species